GAUGAACGCUGGCAGCGUGCUUAACACAUGCAAGUCGAACGAAGCACCAUGGAAAGAUUCUUCGGAAGAUUGAAGUGGUGACUGAGUGGCGGACGGGUGAGUAACGCGUGGGUAACCUGCCUCAUACAGGGGGAUAACAGUUAGAAAUGACUGCUAAUACCGCAUAAGCGCACAGUAUCGCAUGAUACAGUGUGAAAAACUCCGGUGGUAUGAGAUGGACCCGCGUCUGGUUAGCUAGUUGGUAAGGUAACGGCUUACCAAGGCGACGAUCAGUAGCCGGCCUGAGAGGGUGAUCGGCCACAUUGGGACUGAGACACGGCCCAA
rnacentral:rRNA from 1 species